UGGCGAACGGGUGAGUAACACGUGGGUAACCUGCCCAUCAGAAGGGGAUAACACUUGGAAACAGGUGCUAAUACCGUAUAACACUAUUUUCCGCAUGGAAGAAAGUUGAAAGGCGCUUUUGCGUCACUGAUGGAUGGACCCGCGGUGCAUUAGCUAGUUGGUGAGGUAACGGCUCACCAAGGCAACGAUGCAUAGCCGACCUGAGAGGGUGAUCGGCCACACUGGGACUGAGACACGGCCCAGACUCCUACGGGAGGCAGCAGUAGGGAAUCUUCGGCAAUGGACGAAAGUCUGACCGAGCAACGCCGCGUGAGUGAAGAAGGUUUUCGGAUCGUAAAACUCUGUUGUUAGAGAAGAAACAAGGAUGAGAGUAAAACGUCAUCCCCUGCGGAUUUACC
rnacentral:rRNA from 1 species